UACGGGAGGCAGCAGUGGGGAAUAUUGCACAAUGGGCGCAAGCCUGAUGCAGCCACGCCGCGUGUAUGAAGAAGGCCUUCGGGUUGUAAAGUACUUUCAGUCGUGAGGAAGGUGUUAAGGUUAAUAACCUUAGCAAUUGACGUUAGCGACAGAAGAAGCACCGGCUAACUCCGUGCCAGCAGCCGCGGUAAUACGGAGGGUGCGAGCGUUAAUCGGAAUUACUGGGCGUAAAGGGCACGCAGGCGGUUAAUUAAGUUGGAUGUGAAAUCCCCGGGCUUAACCUGGGAAUGGCAUUCAAGACUGGUUAGCUAGAGUCUUGUAGAGGGGGUAGAAUUCCAUGUGUAGCGGUGAAAUGCGUAGAGAUGUGGAGGGAAAUACCGGUGGCGAAAGGCGGCCCCUGGACAAAGACUGACGCUCAUGUGCGAAAAGCGUGGGGAGCAAAACAGGGAUUAGAUACC
rnacentral:rRNA from 1 species